rnacentral:rRNA from 1 species
CAGGCCUAACACAUGCAAGUCGUACGUGAAUCCACCUUCGGGCGGAGAGUAAAGUGGCGCACGGGUGAGUAACGCGUGGAAUCUACCCCUGGAUUCGGAAUAACCCGCCGAAAGGCUGGCUAAUACCGAUAAUGUCCCGAUACAUAAGUACCGGGACCAAAGGAGGCUUUAAGCUUCGUCUUUGGAUGAGCCCGCGUACCAUUAGCUAGUUGGUAGGGUAACGGCCACCAAGGCUACGAUGGUUAGCUGGUCUGAGAGGACGAUCAGCCACACUGAACUGAGACACGGUCCAGACUCCUACGGGAGGCAGCAGUGGGGAAUAUUCGCAAUGGGGGAAACCCUGACGCAGCGACGCCGCGUGAGCGAUGAAGGCCUCGGGUCGUAAAGCUCUGUCAGGUGGGAAGAACCCUUCGUCGAUGAAUAUCGACGAAGCUGACGGUACCACCAGAGGAAGCACCGUGCUAACUCCGUCCAGCAGCCGCGGUAAU